UGGGGAAUAUUGCGCAAUGGGGGAGACCCUGACGCAGCAACGCCGCGUGAUUGAAGAAGGCCUUCGGGUUGUAAAGAUCUUUAAUUGGGGACGAAUUUUGACGGUACCCAAAGAAUAAGCUCCGGCUAACUACGUGCCAGCAGCCGCGGUAAUACGUAGGGAGCAAGCGUUAUCCGGAUUUACUGGGUGUAAAGGGCGAGUAGGCGGGCUGGCAAGUUGGGAGUGAAAUGCCGGGGCUUAACCCCGGAACUGCUUUCAAAACUGCUGGUCUUGAGUGAUGGAGAGGCAGGCGGAAUUCCGUGUGUAGCGGUGAAAUGCGUAGAUAUACGGAGGAACACCAGUGGCGAAGGCGGCCUGCUGGACAUUAACUGACGCUGAGGAGCGAAAGCGUGGGGAGCAAACAGGAUUAGAUACC
rnacentral:rRNA from 1 species